UCGCGUCAAGCGCCGCAGGCAGGAGCGGGGGACCCAAGGUAAGUGCCGGGCCCGGCAGUUGAUGCCGGACCGGCUUGGGGUGAAGCCACCGCCUCCAUGAGGAGGGGUGGCCGGGCAACUCAACCGGCCCGAACCCGACAGCUCACCUCGCAGGCGUCGGUGAGGGGAUCG
rnacentral:sRNA from 1 species